rfam:Dorea sp. 5-2 genomic scaffold acPFE-supercont1.14, whole genome shotgun sequence.
AAGCGCUGAAGUAAGAGAGUGCGCCGGUAGGCAUUGUCUUACGGAGCUUUCAGGAGGGGUUGUGCAAUGAAACCUCAAACCGGCGUAGGCUAAGAAGCUGAAAGAAAAUGCUCUAA